AAGGGACAGUAAUACGUAGAAAUCUACCCUCAGGACGGGGAUAGCGGCGGGAAACUGCCGGUAAUACCCGAUAAUGUCCUUGGACCAAAGGUGUGAUUCCACCUGAGGAUGAGUCUACGUCCUAUUAGCUAGUUGGCGGGGUAAUGGCCCACCAAGGCGACGAUGGGUAGCGGGUGUGAGAGCAUGACCCGCGUCAUUGGGACUGAGAACUGCCCAGACACCUACGGGUGGCUGCAGUCGAGAAUCUUCGGCAAUGGACGAAAGUCUGACCGAGCGACGCCGCGUGCGGGAUGAAGGCCUUCGGGUUGUAAACCGCUGUCGUAGGGGAACAAGUUUACGGGGGUUCUCCCCUGUAUUUGAGUGAUCCUAGGAGGAAGGAGAGGCUAAGCUCGUGCCAGCAGCCGCGGUAAGACGAGCUCUCCAAACGUUAUUCGGUAUCACUGGGCUUAAAGAGUUCGUAGGCGGUCUGGUAGGUGAGGUGUGAAAUCCCUCGGCUCAACCGAGGAACUGCGCUUCAAACCGCCGGACUUGAGGGAUACAGAGGUAGGCGGAACAGAUGGUGGAGCGGUGAAAUGCGUUGA
rnacentral:rRNA from 1 species